UAGGGAAUCUUCCGCAAUGGGCGAAAGCCUGACGGAGCAACGCCGCGUGAGUGAAGAAGGAUUUCGGUUCGUAAAGCUCUGUUGUUAGGGAAGAAUGGAUAUGUAGUAACUAUACAUGUACGAGACGGUACCUAACCAGAAAGCCACGGCUAACUACGUGCCAGCAGCCGCGGUAAUACGUAGGUGGCAAGCGUUGUCCGGAAUUAUUGGGCGUAAAGCGCGCGCAGGUGGUUUAAUAAGUCUGAUGUGAAAGCCCACGGCUCAACCGUGGAGGGUCAUUGGAAACUGUUAAACUUGAGUGCAGGAGAGAAAAGUGGAAUUCCUAGUGUAGCGGUGAAAUGCGUAGAGAUUAGGAGGAACACCAGUGGCGAAGGCGGCUUUUUGGCCUGUAACUGACACU
rnacentral:rRNA from 1 species